rnacentral:lncRNA from 1 species
CACGAAAGCAGGUUUGCGGAUUUCACUUUAAUCUGCAGUGCCACCUUGUGGUUAUCAAUAAAGACCGCACCCAGGGCAGGAAGAGGCUAUGUAACUGUAGUUCACAUUCAAAUGUGGCCAAGGAAGGAUGAUGCAAGCAUGUGCUUUCUUUCCCUGUAGCUGGGCCCGAAUGAGGGGAAUGGAAGAGUUUUAUUUCCAAGACCUGGAUAGAAGAUUUUUGAUUCCAAAUGUAUCAAACAACAUUGACCAUCACAGUCAGUACAGUUUCAUCACUACCAUUUUUGAGCAGCACCUUCACAUGUGCAGAAUCUGCUAUGUGCCACAGUCCUAGAUUCAGCAUUUUUGAUUUUUGUAAGCUUGUUUGGAAAGGGAAACUUGUUCAUUGGAGGCUCAUGUUCCUUUGGAACUGCACACUGAGGAGCUUUGGAGGUGCGCCAACUUGGAGACUGCAGGUAGGCAAGAUUUCAGGUUAGCUUCUAAUCUCAGCAUCAUCAAUAUUUGUAGUUGGG